rnacentral:rRNA from 1 species
GAGGAAGUAAAAGUCAUAACAAGGUUUCCGUAGGUGAACCUGCGGAAGGAUCAUUAGAGUGCCGAUAAGGCUAUCCAAACACCUGUGCACAUCGGACCGCGCCUCCCUCCCGGGGGGCUCGGCCGCCUUCACACAAACGCAUGUCACGAACGUAAUGCAUAAUAACAUGAAACAACUUUCAACAACGGAUCUCUUGGCUCUCGCAUCGAUGAAGAACGCAGCGAAACGCGAUAUGUAAUGUGAAUUGCAGAAUUCAGUGAAUCAUCGAAUCUUUGAACGCACCUUGCGCCUUUUGGUAUUCCGAAAGGCAUGCCUGUUUGAGUGUCAUGUAGACUCAACCCCCCGGGUUUCUGACCCGGCGGAGUUGGAUUUGGGCCCUGCCUUACCCGGCUGGCCUUAAAUGCGUUAGUGGUUUCACGCAGGACGUCGUAAGUUACGCGUCGACUGUGGGCCGCUCACAACCCCUCUUUUUUGCACUCUGGCCUCAGAUAGGUAGGGCUACCCGCUGAACUUAAGCAUAU